UGUUGCCGCUUAUCCUCCUUCUCACCCUCAGUGGUCUCGGUGUUCACACAAACCAAAGUGUGUUUGAAUGUUGUUUUUCCCCUGCCAGUUUUUUCAGAGGUGCUCAUGUGUGGUUAUCGAUGUUUUCUUUCGUCUCUUUAUGAUUUUAGUGGUUGUUUAUUUGCAAUCCAGAUCGUCGCGGUACGAAAGAAAAACGGACGUGCCCUAUAGGUUAGAAG
rnacentral:rRNA from 1 species